rnacentral:tRNA from 1 species
AGGGGUGUAGUUCAGCUGGUAGAGCGUCGGUCUCCAAAACCGGAUGUCGUGGGUUCGAGUCCCUCCGCCCCUGCCA